CAGCUAAGGCCCCUAAAUGACCGCUCAGUGAUAAAAGGAGGUGGGGGUGCAAAAGGACAGCCAGGGAGGUUUGCCUAGAAGCAGCCACCCUUUAAAGAGUAGCGUAAUAGCUCACUGAUCGAGCGCCCUUGCGCUGAAGAUGAACGGGGCUAAGCGAUCUGCCGAAGCUG
rnacentral:rRNA from 16 species